rnacentral:rRNA from 1 species
UACAGAGGAUGCAAGCGUUAUCCGGAAUGAUUGGGCGUAAAGCGUCUGUAGGUGGCUUUUUAAGUCCGCCGUCAAAUCCCAGGGCUCAACUCUGGACAGGCGGUGGAAACUACCAAGCUGGAGUACGGUAGGGGCAGAGGGAAUUUCCGGUGGAGCGGUGAAAUGCGUAGAGAUCGGAAAGAACACCAACGGCGAAGGCAGCUCGCUGGGACGGUACUGACGCUGAGGCGCGAAAGCGUGGGGAGCAAACAGGG